CACGUAGGCGGACUGUUUAGUCAGAGGUGAAAUCCCGGGGCUCAACCUCGGAAUUGCCUUUGAUACUGGCAGUCUUGAGUCCGAGAGAGGUGGGUGGAAUUCCGAGUGUAGAGGUGAAAUUCGUAGAUAUUCGGAGGAACACCAGUGGCGAAGGCGGCUCACUGGCUCGGUACUGACGCUGAGGUGCGAAAGCGUGGGAGCAAACA
rnacentral:rRNA from 1 species